rnacentral:misc_RNA from 1 species
AAGGAAUAGCAGCUUUAGAUAGUCCAAAGUGACACUGAAAAGUAGCAUCCAAUACAUAUACUGUGGUCCAACAUAUUGACAAAAGAUGAGAAAGGUUUUAGGACUAGAUCUAAGUUAUAAUAGUUGGGAAUUUAAGUUUGGGUACUCUAGGUUUAAAUCCCAAAUAAUAGAAGCAGCAGAAGUAGAUUAUUGUUACUUCACUUACAGCUAACCCUGGUAACCACAAAUGGACGAACUAGAACUGAUCAAUAGACUAACUCAGGCACGAAUCCUGUUUAUUUAGUGUAUUUGGACAGUCUGUGAUUCAAAAGUACAUCAAAAUUGUUCAGAAGGAAUUAAUAUUUUGGGCAUAGUGAUAUUGUCUGGCAAUAAAACAGCAACUGGAAGUAGCCAUUUAUCAGCCUCUCUCUGCAGUACUAUAUGCAUCCUCGAUCGAUCAUCUUCAUCACUCUUUUAACAAUAUCCACAAAAAAAUUAUCAACAUAUAUAAUCAAUUUAUGGUUAUUUUUCCUUAUAAUGAAGUUAUUAUUUAUGUAUCACCAAUUUCGCUAGACUUUUUUUUACGAAUUCAUUUCUAUA